GACGAACGCUGGCGGCGUGCUUAACACAUGCAAGUCGAACGGAAAGGCCCUGCUUUUGUGGGGUGCUCGAGUGGCGAACGGGUGAGUAACACGUGAGUAACCUGCCCUUGAGUUUGGGAUAACUUCAGGAAACUGGGGCUAAUACCGGAUAGGAGCUCCUGCUGCAUGGUGGGGGUUGGAAAGUUUCGGUGGUGGGGGAUGGUCUCGGGGGUUAUCAGUUUGUGGGUGGGGUAGUGGCUUACCAAGGCUUUGACGGGUAGCCGGCACUGGAGGUGAACCGGCCACAUUGGGCCUGAGAGACGGCCCAGACUCCUACGGGGGGCAGCGGGGGGGAAUAUUGUACAAUGGGGGGAAGCGUGAUGCAGCAACGCCGCGGGCGGGAUGACGGCCUUCGGGUUGUAAACCGCUUUCGCCUGUGACGAAGCGUGAGUGACGGUAAUGGGUAAAGAAGCACCGGCUAACUACGUG
rnacentral:rRNA from 1 species